rnacentral:rRNA from 1 species
UACGUGCCAGCAGCCGCGGUAAUACGUAUGUCCCGAGCGUUAUCCGGAUUUAUUGGGCGUAAAGCGAGCGCAGACGGUUUAUUAAGUCUGAUGUGAAAUCCCGAGGCCCAACCUCGGAACUGCAUUGGAAACUGAUUUACUUGAGUGCGAUAGAGGCAAGUGGAACUCCAUGUGUAGCGGUGAAAUGCGUAGAUAUGUGGAAGAACACCAGUGGCGAAAGCGGCUUGCUAGAUCGUAACUGACGUUGAGGCUCGAAAGUAUGGGUAGCAAACGGGAUUAGAUACCCCGGUAGUCCAUACCGUAAACGAUGGGUGCUAGUUGUUAAGAGGUUUCCGCCUCCUAGUGACGUAGCAAACGCAUUAAGCACCCCGCCUGAGGAGUACGGCCGCAAGGCUAAAACUUAAAGGAAUUGACGGGGACCCGCACAAGCGGUGGAGCAUGUGGUUUAAUUCGAAG